rnacentral:rRNA from 1 species
CGGACGGGUGAGUAAUGUCUGGGAAACUGCCUGAUGGAGGGGGAUAACUACUGGAAACGGUAGCUAAUACCGCAUAACGUCGCAAGACCAAAGAGGGGGCCCUUCGGGCCUCUUGCCAUCGGAUGUGCCCAGAUGGGAUUAGCUAGUAGGUGGGGUAACGGCUCACCUAGGCGACGAUCCCUAGCUGGUCUGAGAGGAUGACCAGCCACACUGGAACUGAGACACGGUCCAG